rnacentral:rRNA from 1 species
GACGGAGGAUGCAAGUGUUAUCCGGAAUCACUGGGCGUAAAGCGUCUGUAGGUGGUUCGAAAAGUCCACUGUUAAAAAUUGAGGCUUAACUUCAAAGAUGCCGUGGAAACUUUCAAACUAGAGUAUGGUAGGGGUAGAGGGAAUUUCCGGUGGAGCGGUGAAAUGCAUUGAGAUCGGAAAGAACACCAACGGCGAAAGCACUCUGCUGGGCCGACACUGACACUGAGAGACGAAAGCUAGGGGAGCAAAUGGGAUUAGGA